UACGUAGGGUGCAAGCGUUGUCCGGAAUUAUUGGGCGUAAAGAGCUCGUAGGCGGUCUGUCGCGUCGGCUGUGAAAACUCGGGGCUCAACCCCGAGCUUGCAGUCGAUACGGGCAGGCUAGAGUUCGGCAGGGGAGACUGGAAUUCCUGGUGUAGCGGUGAAAUGCGCAGAUAUCAGGAGGAACACCGGUGGCGAAGGCGGUUCUCUGGGCAUUACCUGACGCUGAGGAGCGAAAGCGUGGGGAGCAAACAGG
rnacentral:rRNA from 1 species